rnacentral:rRNA from 1 species
AGUGAACGCUGGCGGUAGGCCUAACACAUGCAAGUCGAACGGCAGCACAGUAAGAGCUUGCUCUUACGGGUGGCGAGUGGCGGACGGGUGAGGAAUACAUCGGAAUCUACUUUUUCGUGGGGGAUAACGUAGGGAAACUUACGCUAAUACCGCAUACGACCUACGGGUGAAAGCAGGGGAUCUUCGGACCUUGCGCGAUUGAAUGAGCCGAUGUCGGAUUAGCUAGUUGGCGGGGUAAAGGCCCACCAAGGCGACGAUCCGUAGCUGGUCUGAGAGGAUGAUCGGCCACACUGGAACUGAGACACGGUCCAGACUCCUACGGGAGGCAGCAGUGGGGAAUAUUGGACAAUGGGCGCAAGCCUGAUCCAGCCAUACCGCGUGAGUGAAGAAGGCCUUCGGGUCGUAAAGCCCUUUUGUUGGGAAAGAAAAGCAGCAGGUUAAUACCCCGCUGUUCUGACGGUACCCAAAGAAUAAGCACCGGCUAACUUCGUG